rnacentral:rRNA from 1 species
UACGUAGGGUGCGAGCGUUAAUCGGAAUUACUGGGCGUAAAGCGUGCGCAGGCGGUUGUGCAAGACAGAUGUGAAAUCCCCGGGCUCAACCUGGGAACUGCAUUUGUGACUGCACGGCUGGAGUGCGGCAGAGGGGGAUGGAAUUCCGCGUGUAGCAGUGAAAUGCGUAGAUAUGCGGAGGAACACCGAUGGCGAAGGCAAUCCCCUGGGCCUGCACUGACGCUCAUGCAUGAAAGCGUGGGGAGCAAACAGG